AACGAACGCUGGCGGCAGGCCUAACACAUGCAAGUCGAACGCCCCGCAAGGGGAGUGGCAGACGGGUGAGUAACACGUGGGAACGUACCCUUCGGUUCGGGAUAACUCAGGGAAACUUGAGCUAAUACCGGAUGCGUCCGAGAGGAGAAAGAUUUAUCGCCGAGGGAUCGGCCCGCGUCUGAUUAGCUUGUUGGUGAGGUAACGGCUCACCAAGGCGACGAUCAGUAGCUGGUCUGAGAGGAUGAUCAGCCACAUUGGGACUGAGACACGGCCCAAACUCCUACGGGAGGCAGCAGUGGGGAAUAUUGGACAAUGGGCGCAAGCCUGAUCCAGCCAUGCCGCGUGAGUGAUGAAGGCCCUAGGGUUGUAAAGCUCUUUUACCGGGAAGAUAAUGACUGUACCGGGAGAAUAAGCCCCGGCUAACUUCGUGCCAGCCGCCGCAGU
rnacentral:rRNA from 1 species